CGGGAAGUGGCGCAAUGGCGAGCGCACCUGCUUUGGGUGCAGGGGGUUGUGGGUUCGAGUCCCACCUUCCCGACGA
rnacentral:tRNA from 1 species